rnacentral:tRNA from 1 species
AGAAAGAUGUCUGAAUGGUUAAAGAUAUAAAUUGCUAAUUUAUUAUUUAAGGGUUCAAUUCCCUUUCUUUCUU